CUGGCGGCGGCGCGCCCCCGGGUGAGCGGGGCUGCCGCUGGAAGCCCCAGCUGCCCGCUCGCUCCCGGCCCGCGGGCGUGGUGGCCGAGCAGCCGGUUCUCGGCUGGAACCUGCAGGGCUCCCGGGAACUGGUCCCGAGGCGUGGCGGAUAGGCUCCUUUCCGGCACACACCUGCGGGCAGAGCGUCCCCCAUGGGAACCGAGACUUCCGGAGCGCAGGGACCGCCCUGAGCCUGGUGCCCGACCCCAAGACCGUGGUGACCUGACCUUCACUGCCCACCUGCUCGGACCCACGACCUGUGUCCCACACUUUCUUUAUAUGAACCUGGACGUGCUUUGAGCACUCUGGAGACGGUCUUUAAGACCCUAGUCUCCGGGUGGUGGUCUCACCGAAAUAAAUUCCUUUCCUGUUUCCUCAC